UGACCUGUCAUGUGAAGAAGAGCUCC
rnacentral:piRNA from 1 species